AUACGUGUCGGCGGGGUGAGCCACGACUCUGCUACGCUUUGCCAGUCGAGCGUAUACGCGGCCGCUUUUUCGUUCGUUUUAUGACAGAGAAGGAGAGAGAGAAAGAGCGUAUUCUCGGCGGUGUGAUCUUCGUGAUCCUGUGAGGGACGAUCAUUUGAUUCGUAGUGCUAGUCGCUUCAACGUCAAGACAAAAUGGGAUUCAAGUUUCUCGAGGUGAUAAAACCGUUCUGCAGUAUAUUGCCGGAAAUAGCGAAGCCACAACGAAAGAUUCAGUUUAGGGAAAAAGUACUAUGGACGGCAAUUACAUUGUUUAUUUUUCUAGUAUGUUGCCAGAUUCCAUUAUUUGGUAUCAUGUCUUCAGACAGUGCAGAUCCAUUUUAUUGGAUCCGUGUGAUACUUGCGUCAAACAGAGGAACGUUGAUGGAAUUGGGUAUCUCGCCAAUCGUUACUUCCGGUCUUAUUAUGCAACUGCUGCACGGUGCAAAGAUCAUUGAGGUCGGUGAUACACCAAAAGAUAGGGCGUUAUUCAAUGGUGCACAAAAAUUGUUUGGCAUGGUUAUUACUGUUGGGCAAGCUAUUGUUUAUGUAAUGACUGGAAUGUAUGGAGAUCCAACUGAAAUUGGAGCUGGAGUUUGUCUUUUGAUUAUUAUCCAAUUGUUUGUCGCUGGACUUAUAGUAUUAUUAUUGGAUGAGCUUCUUCAAAAAGGAUAUGGAUUGGGAAGUGGAAUAUCUCUCUUUAUUGCUACUAACAUUUGUGAGACUAUUGUUUGGAAAGCAUUCUCACCAGCCACAGUUAACACUGGUCGUGGUACGGAAUUUGAAGGCGCUGUAAUUGCUUUGUUCCACUUACUGGCUACUAGACAAGACAAAGUCCGUGCCCUCCGAGAAGCAUUUUACAGACAGAAUCUUCCAAAUCUGAUGAACCUUCUCGCUACUAUUUUAGUGUUUGCUAUCGUUAUCUACUUCCAAGGCUUCCGUGUAGAUCUUCCGAUCAAAUCUGCCAGAUAUCGCGGUCAAUACAGCAGCUAUCCGAUCAAACUAUUUUACACCAGUAAUAUCCCGAUCAUCUUGCAAUCAGCCUUGGUGUCCAACUUAUAUGUCAUUUCUCAAAUGUUGGCCGUUAAAUUCCAAGGAAAUCUCAUAGUAAAUCUGUUGGGCGUUUGGUCGGAUGUUGGUGGCGGUGGUCCCGCCAGAUCGUAUCCAGUCGGUGGAUUAUGUUAUUACUUAUCACCACCAGAAUCGGUCGGCCAUAUCGUUCAAGAUCCCGUCCAUGCCGUGCUCUAUAUUCUCUUCAUGCUUGGCUCAUGCGCCUUCUUCUCCAAGACAUGGAUCGAAGUUUCUGGAAGCUCGGCGAAGGAUGUUGCCAAACAAUUGAGAGAACAGCAGAUGGUAAUGCGAGGUCAUAGAGACAAUUCCAUGAUUCGCGAACUGAAUCGGUAUAUUCCAACUGCCGCAGCAUUUGGUGGACUGUGCAUCGGAGCUCUCUCUGUGCUGGCGGAUUUUCUGGGCGCUAUUGGUUCCGGUACCGGUAUCUUACUCGCUGUCACCAUCAUAUAUCAAUACUUCGAAAUUUUUGUUAAGGAGCAAAGUGAAAUGGGUGGCAUGAGCACAUUACUUUUCUAAACUUAGUUCAACUAUAGAUUUGAAAAGUAAACUUUUUUUUAUUCUGAAGAACUACAUAAUUUAUUGUAAGAUAAGAGACUUUUGAUCGAAUUGGCAGAGUUUGUGUAUGUGUAUGUGUUGUGUGUGAAAGUGUGUGUGUGUUAAAGUGUGUGUGUGUGUGUAUGUAUGACAAACUCACGGAUGUAGACAUAUACUAACGCCAAUCGAAGGUUCCCCUCCCCCAUUUCACCCGCGUUAUACAUAAAAUCGCACAUAUUUAACUUACGAUUGUAUAUUGUUGAUUCUAUGCUCAAAAGAUUGUGUCAGUGACUUUCCAAAAAAAAAAAAAAAUACACUUUUUUGUAGGAUAUAUUAACGUAAUUAUUGAGACACGUUAAACAUUAAUAAUGCUAUACAAACUGUUCACAAAAAAAUCAUCAAAAAUCAUUAGCCUGAUAAAGGCAAGAACAUACAUUGACAGAAUGUAGAGAUUAAGAACUCAGAUAUGCAACAAUUAAAAUGCUCGCAAAAUAUAAACGCGGAAGAUAUCUCGCAAGAUUUGAUGCAAUCGAUAUCUUUCAUACAAUAAGCAGUAUGUACAUAGUAAGAAAAUAAUUGAAUAUUUCCAACAUUUUUUACUAGCGUUUUUGGGGCUCUGCGUCAUGAAGAAGAGCCGCAUGAAGAGUCAAUCGCAUAUACAUACGAGUAAAAUCGUGACGUUUAUAUUAAUUGAACCAAUAUAUGAUUACGAAUAUAGUCAUUUCAGGACGAGACACCCACCUAGGGUAUUCGUACAGCAAUUCGAACAGCGUUCGUUCAUCUUGGGUACCAUUCAUUCCUGUAUUGAUAAUAAUAUGAAGAUCGAGAAUUUGUACCUGGUGCGGCUGUAACACAGGCAGAAUAUCUCUAAUACUCGCCAAUGGCGGUGGUAAUAAUUGACCAAGCGCCAUUAUAUUGACGAGCGAGACACCUUCCUCCGUAUUCCAAUUAGCCAUCACGGUUGCAGUAAUACCUCGCAGUAAAACGGAACAAUAUGCUAACGCUGGUCUGUACCAGGCAGUCAAUUCUAAUAAUGUCCAUAGUAGAGGCGUGCUUAACAGAUCCAACAGAGUAACGAUAUCGUUCGCCAAAUCAAAGUUGUCGGUUCUCAUUAACAAAGAAGAUAUUUGAUACAAAUUUGAUCUGAGGGCUCUGGUAAUCAUCGAUUGUAAUAUUGGCGCUUUACUCGAUUUUUCCCACCUAAAUGAAAUAUAAAAACAAAAUUAUAAUUAUUAUAUUAAACUAUAUAUAAAAAAUAUACAUAAUUAUCAGAAA